rnacentral:lncRNA from 1 species
AGAACUUUAAGAUAAUAAACUUUUGUUGCUUUAAACCACCAGAUAUGUGAUGAUGUGUUACAUUAGCAAUAGAAAACUGACCUAUACCUCCCUGUCCAUGUUCUAGAACUUCUAGGUAAAUUUCUCAAUUCUUUAUCUUUAGGCAUCUUCUCUGCCUGCGAGACCAUCAAUAAUGGAAAAGGAUUUUUCCAGUGCUUUUUAGGCCAGAGAGAGAGAGGGAAGGAAGGAAGAAAAGAGCAAGACAAAGAGGAAGCAAGCCAGUGGAACAGUGAAUGCUGUAAUGCAAAGGUUCCUGCGACUCCAGCUUGUAGGAACAGAGUGACUUCUGCUUAAGCAUAUGUCUGUAUCACAUUCCUCACCACUCAGGAGAGUUCUGGAGACUAAAAGUCUGAAAUCAAGCUGUCAGCAGGGUCAUGCCCGCUUCCUUAGAAGGCUGUAGAGAAGAAUCCUUCUUUGCUGCUCCUGGCUUCAAGUGGCUGUCACAAUCCUUGGCUUAUAGCUGCAUCACUCCCGUUUCUGCCCCUGGCUUCACAUGGCUUCUUCCCUCUGUGUGUGCUUGUGUUUCUCCAAAUUCCCCUCGUCUUACAAAGACAUUGGUAAUUGGAUUAACACUCACCCUGAUCAGCUUAUUGAAUUUGAAUCAGCUGCUGGAUGCCGUUGUUUUUUCUUGGGAACGUAUUUAUCCCAUUGUGGGCAUGUUCCUGUCUCCAACUCUCCGGCACUUUUUCUUUGCUCUUUAUUGAGAAGUCAACUUUGUGCUGAAGAAGUUUCUGUUUUCCAUAUGAUUGAUCUUCAGGUGGUGGGGGAGCCCUCACUGAAACAGUGGUUUUAAAAAAAUUACACCCUUUCAUCUUUGGUCUCAUCUUGUGGAAGAAAGAAGAACUGAGCUAUUCUACCAACUAUUGUGAACUGUUCAAAUUUCCUCUGGGGAGAAAAACCAGUUGCUUUCAAAGCUCUGAGGAGUAUCAAAAAAUGCUCCUAGGCUAAAUACAGUAAAUAAAAGGCAAUGUGGACUUUCAAAAGACUGCUCCAGGGGCACACGAGAAAGUUUUAGCUGGUGUGAGAAUCACUGAAACAGAAACCUGGGGCAGGUGGGGGGAAGGAACAGAUGAAAUCAGAAAGAAUAUCUAUAAAUUUAGCCUAUAUUUAUAGGGAUACCUAUACUCAUGGUCUUGGUGAAAUGAAACACUGAAAGAAAAUAUGUGCAAUCUCUUUUUAGAGUUUGUGACCUUGCAAAUUAAAAAUGGAAUUUACUGCUUUGUGCAUUAGAUUUAUUAAUAUGGACUUGUUCUUACAUAGCUCUUUAAUCUGUCUUUAUAGGUCAUUAUUUUUUACAACAGGCUCCUACCUUAUCUUUUGGAUUCUAGACUCACUGCUUUAAAUCUAUUUUGUGAGCAUGCUCACACGCAUGCGCGCACACACACACACACACACAUACAAUUAAAUACUGAAGACAUUUUUUGCCCUGGAGGGGGACUUCAAUCACCACCUUCUGAGAGUUGUCCUUGUGUAGUUUUUCUUUCUCAUUGGAUCGGGUUUGUUCUGUGUAACCAACAGUGUGUAACAGAAGUGAUGGUGUGCUGCUUAUGAAAUUAGAUAUUAAAAGACUAGCGUUUCCUUUCUGGAUGUAUUUUUGUUCCUUACCUCCCUCCCUCCAUCUCUUCUCUUCUCUUCUCUUCUCUCUCUCUCUCUCUCUCUCUCUCUCUCUCUCUCUCUCUCUCUCUCUCUCUCUCUCUCUCCACUCACUGCUUCCUUUGGGGAAAGUCAGCUACUACAUAGUGAACACACUCA